UGGUGGAGUGAUUUGUCUGGUUUAUUCCGAUAACGAACGAGACUCCAACCUACUAACUAGUGGGGCAAUCUUUGAGUUGCCGUCACUUCUUAGAGGGACAAUUGGCGUUUAGUCAAAUGAGAAGGAGCAAUAACA
rnacentral:rRNA from 1 species